UACGUAGGGGGCAAGCGUUGUCCGGAAUCAUUGGGCGUAAAGCGCGCGUAGGCGGCCCUGUAAGUCCGUUGUGAAAGUCAAAGGCUCAACCUUUGAAAGCCGAUGGAUACUGCAGGGCUAGAGUCCGGAAGAGGCGAGUGGAAUUCCUGGUGUAGCGGUGAAAUGCGCAGAUAUCAGGAGGAACACCGGUGGCGAAGGCGGGUCUCUGGGCCAUAACUGACGCUGAGGCACGAAAGCUAGGGGAGCAAACAGG
rnacentral:rRNA from 1 species